rnacentral:rRNA from 1 species
UACGUAGGGUGCGAGCGUUAAUCGGAAUUACUGGGCGUAAAGCGUGCGCAGGCGGUGAUGUAAGACAGGUGUGAAAUCCCCGGGCUUAACCUGGGAACUGCGUUGGAAACUACGAGGCUAGAGUGCGGCAGAGGGGGGUGGAAUUCCAGGUGUAGCAGUGAAAUGCGUAGAGAUCUGGAGGAACACCGAUGGCGAAGGCAGCCCCCUGGGUUAGCACUGACGCUGAUACACGAAAGCGUGGGGAGCAAACAGG